rnacentral:rRNA from 1 species
UACGGAGGAUGCAAGCGUUAUCCGGAAUGAUUGGGCGUAAAGCGUCCGCAGGUGGCAAUGUAAGUCUGCUGUCAAAGCGUCUGGCUCAACCAGAUAAAGGCAGUGGAAACUACAUAGCUAGAGUAAGGUAGGGGUAGAGGGAAUUCCUGGUGUAGCGGUGAAAUGCGUAGAUAUCUGGAGGAACACCGUUGGCGAAGGCGAGCUUCUGGGCUGUCUCUGACGCUCAAGCGCGAAAGCUGGGGGAGCAAACAGG